rnacentral:rRNA from 1 species
GUGGGGAAUAUUGGACAAUGGGCGAAAGCCUGAUCCAGCCAUGCCGCGUGUGUGAAGAAGGUCUUCGGAUUGUAAAGCACUUUAAGUUGGGAGGAAGGGCAGUAAGUUAAUACCUUGCUGUUUUGACGUUACCGACAGAAUAAGCACCGGCUAACUUCGUGCCAGCAGCCGCGGUAAUACGAAGGGUGUAAGCGUUAAUCGGAAUUACUGGGCGUAAAGAGCGCGUAGGUGGUUUGGUAAGUUGGAGGUGAAAUCCCCGGGCUCAACCUGGGAACUGACUCCAAAACUGCAUGACUAGAGUACGGUAGAGGGUAUUGGAAUUUCCUGUGUAGCGGUGAAAUGCGUAGAUAUAGGAAGGAACACCAGUGGCGAAGGCGACUACCUGUAAUGAUACUGACACUGAGGUGCGAAAGCGUGGGGAGCAAACAGGAUUAGAAACCCUGUAGUCC